rnacentral:rRNA from 1 species
GAUGAACGCUGGCGGCGUGCCUAAUACAUGCAAGUCGAACGAACAGACGCGGAGCUUGCUCCUCUCACGUUAGCGGCGGACGGGUGAGUAACACGUGUAUACCCUACCUAUCAGUCUGGUAUCACUUCGGGAAACCGGCGCUAAUACCGGAUAAUAUAUUGAUCCAUAUGGUGCAUUAGAGAAAGUCGGUUUUGCUGUCACUUAUAGCUGGUUCCGGGCUGCAUUAGCUAGUUGGUAAGGUAACGGCUUAUCACGGCGACGAUGCGUAGCCGACCGGCGAGGGUGGUCGGCCACACGGGAAGUGAGACACGGUCCAGACUCCUACGGGAGGCAGCAGUAGGGAAUCGUCCGCAAUGGGCGAAAGCCUGACGGAGCAACGCCGAGUGAGUGAUGAAGGUCUUCGGAGCGUAAAACUCUGUUAUGAGGGAAGAACAAAUGUGUAAGUAACUAUGCACGUCUUGACGGUACCUAAUCAGAAAGCCACGGCUAACUACGUG